rnacentral:rRNA from 1 species
CACGUAGGGUGCGAGCGUUGUCCGGAAUUAUUGGGCGUAAAGAGCUCGUAGGCGGUGUGUCGCGUCGGCCGUGAAAACCUGCAGCUUAACUGUGGGCUUGCGGUCGAUACGGGCAUCACUGGAGUUCGGCAGGGGAGACUGGAAUUCCUGGUGUAGCGGUGAAAUGCGCAGAUAUCAGGAGGAACACCGGUGGCGAAGGCGGCUGCCUGGACAUCAACUGACGCUGAGACGCGAAAGCGUGGGGAGCAAACAGG